UGGCCCCUUGGUAUACAGAAGAUUUACGGGGGCAGAAGUGGCAAGGUAGGUGACUGGAGCGCAAGUGGAGAAAGACUUGACUCAAAUCCAACAGAUUACAACAUAGAAAACAUUUAAAGAUCUAUGCUCAGGCAAUACAUGUGGCAAAGAAGCGGUUCUUUUCUGCCCGUAUUGCAUCUGUGAGUUCAUGUCCAGUGGAGUUGUACAGGGUUGUGAGGGGACUCCUAUGUGCCCCCCCUUCUGUGAAUCAGAAUUUGGAGCCAUCAGUUACUUGCAAUGAUAUGUUUAAAGAAUUUUUUGCAGAUAAAAUCUCCUGGAUUCGGGCCGACUUAGAUGGAGACUCCACAAUUAAUUUGAUGUCUGAACUGGAGGUGUCCAACAACUCUUCUUAGGUGGUUCAACAGGAUCGGUUUGAGUUUGCGACUCCUGAGGACGUGGACAAGCUGCUCGGAAUGAUGCCAGUUUAGAUGAAUAGCCCUUCAAAAAUGGGAACAUCUUCCAGAGCCUUGUACCCAAGGUUCAGAGCUGCACAAUAAUUACUGUCGCAAGCCCUGUUUCAAGCUGGUGGGAAGAGGGAUGUCCUCAAACACUUCAGCAAAAAGAAGAUUACUCUCCCACAGAGCUAACAAAGUUGUUCCAAAGUCAUGAAAUCAAAUUGUAACCAGUGGCCAGCAUCCUCACUAACACUGCACAUACGCAAGAAGAAGAGGAGGAGGAAGAAGAAGAGGAGGAAGAAGAGC